CUCGUAGGCGGUUCGGUAAGUCAGGUGUGAAAUCUCCACGCUCAACGUGGAGGCGCCACCUGAAACUGCCGUGACUCGAGUCCGGUAGGGGAGUGUGGAAUUCCCGGUGUAGCGGUGAAAUGCGCAGAUAUCGGGAGGAACACCAGUGGCGAAGGCGGCACUCUGGGCCGGUACUGACGCUGAGGAGCGAAAGCGUGGGGAGCGAACA
rnacentral:rRNA from 1 species